rnacentral:rRNA from 1 species
UGGGGAAUAUUGGACAAUGGGCGAAAGCCUGAUCCAGCCAUGCCGCGUGAGUGACAAAGGCCUUAGGGUUGUAAAGCUCUUUUACCAGGGACGAUAAUGACGGUACCUGGAGAAUAAGCCCCGGCAAACUUCGUGCCAGCAGCCGCGGUAAUACGAAGGGGGCUAGCGUUGUUCGGAAUUACUGGGCGUAAAGCGCACGUAGGCGGAUUGUUAAGUCAGAGGUGAAAUCCCGGAGCUCAACUUCGGAACUGCCUUUGAUACUGGCAAUCUAGAGUCCGGAAGAGGUUAGUGGAAUUCCCAGUGUAGAGGUGAAAUUCGUAGAUAUUGGGAAGAACACCAGUGGCGAAGGCGGCUAACUGGUCCGGUACUGACGCUGAGGUGCGAAAGCGUGGGGAGCAAACAGGAUUAGAUACCCGUGUAGUCCCUGAGCGGGCUGGCAAGGCGCAU